rnacentral:lncRNA from 1 species
AGAGUGACUAGUGCAGGCUUCCUGGGGAACCAUUUGAGCUUUGAAGGUGGGGAAGAGGAAUGUCAGAGAGUGGGCAAAAUACAACAGGAAAGGUCCAAAUUCACCCUCUGAGGGCCCGGGGCACGGGGGCAGCCUGCUCUCCUCCUGGGGCCCUGUUCCCUGUGGGGACUGGAAGAGAGGCUUUGAGUCUAGGGCCUGGGGCAGCCAGGACUGACGGGGGUGCAGUCCUAGAAGGGUCGGCAGUCACGGUGGCCCACCAUGGCAUCUCCGUAUCCUUGCUGCAUGCUGCACCCACUCCAGCUGCCAGAGCACGGAGGCAGAGACGUGGGAGCCGAUGAAGGUCGCACGCCAGCCUCCCACCUGUGAGACAAAGGGCCCUGUCACUGGAAGCCACGUCCAGCCUGGCCCCGCAGGAGCCAGGGCUCUGCGCCUAACGGAGGACUGAUGGGAAAGGGAAGGCUGGCAGCAGUGAGGCCAAUGUCUUCACAGGUUUUUUGACCUUGGCAAUGUUCCCGUCAGACUGCAGAAGAAUUGACUAUUCCCGUUCAGGUAGAUGAUGA